ACUAACACGUAGCUAACCUGCCCUAUGGUUGAGGAUACAGUCGGGAAACUGACCAUAAGACUCAAUAGGAGAUGCACUCUGGAAAGAAGCAUCUUUUAAAUUCGAGCCAUAGGAUGGGGGUGCGGCUGAUUAGGUUGUUGGCGGGGUAACUGCCCACCAAGCCGAUGAUCAGUAAGGGCCUUUAGCGAGGAAGCCCUGAGAAGGACUCUGAGACACUAGUCCUAGCCCUACGGGGUGCAGCAGGUAGGCAUAUUCUGCAAUGCGCGCAAGCGUGACAGAGCAAGCCAGAGUGUUUUUCUAUUUUAAUGAAAAACUUUUGCCAGCUUUAAAAAGGCUGGCGAAUAAGGACCGGGCAAGACUGGUGCCAGCCGCCGCGGUAAUCCCAGCGGUCCAAGUCGCAACCACAAUUAUUGGGUCUAAAACAUCCGUAGCUUGUUUGUUAAGUUUCUUGUGAAAUUCUGUCUCUUAAGGGCAGAGCGUGCAAGAAAUACUGGCGAACUUGAGACCGGAAGACGUAAGGAGUAUGAUUGAGGUAGUAGUAAAAUACGUUGAUCUUAAUCAGACUAACAACAGCGAAGGCACCUUACGAGUACGGAUCUGACAGUGAGGGAUGAAGGCUAGGGGCGCAAAAGGGAUUAGAUACCCCUGUAGUCCUAGCAGUAAACACUGCACACUAAACAUUAGUACCUCCUCGAGAGGUAUUAGUGCUGUAGGGAAGCUGAAGAGUGUGCUACCUGGGAAGUAUAGUCGCAAGACCGAAACUUAAAGGAAUUGGCGGGGGAGCACUACAACGGGUGACGCGUACGGUUCAAUUAGAUUCUACACCGUGAACCUCACCAGGAGCGACAACAGAAUGAAGGUCAGUCUGAAGGGCUUACCUGACACGCUGAGAGGAGGUGCAUGGCCGACGUCAGCCUGUGUCGUGAGAUGACCUGUUAAAUCAGGUAACAGGCGAGACCCGUGUGCAUAUUUGCUAUCUGAUAAAGAAGCGCAAUAUGCAGACUGCCUUGGUAACAAGGAGGAAGGUGCGGGCUACGUUAGGUGAGUACGCCCCGAAUCCCCUGGGCUACACGCGCGCGGCAAUGCCGAAAUCAGUGAGAUGCAACUCCGAGAGGAGAAGCUAAUCCCAUAAACUUCAGCUCAGUUCAGAUUGUCGGCUGUAACUUGCCGACAUGACGCUGGAAUCCGUAGUAAUCGUUUAUUAGCAAUGAACGGUGAAUAAGUCCCUGCUCCUUGCACACACCGCCCGUCAAACCAACCGAGUUAUGCCGUGGUGAGACUCUU
rnacentral:rRNA from 1 species